GAUUAAGUUAUUAAGGGCGCACGGUGGAUGCCUUGGCACUAGAAGCCGAUGAAGGACGUUACUAACGACGAUAUGCUUUGGGUAGCUGUAAGUAAGCGUUGAUCCAGAGAUUUCCGAAUGGGGGAACCCAGCAUGAGUUAUGUCAUGUUAUCGACAUGUGAAUUCAUAGCAUGUCAGAAGGCAGACCCGGAGAACUGAAACAUCUUAGUACCCGGAGGAAGAGAAAGAAAAAUCGAUUCCCUGAGUAGCGGCGAGCGAAACGGGAAGAGCCCAAACCAACAAGCUUGCUUGUUGGGGUUGUAGGACACUCUAUACGGAGUUACAAAAGAACAUGUUAGACGAAUCAUCUGGAAAGAUGAAUCAAAGAAGGUAAUAAUCCUGUAGUCGAAAACAUAUUCUCUCUUGAGUGGAUCCUGAGUACGACGGAGCACGUGAAAUUCCGUCGGAAUCUGGGAGGACCAUCUCCUAAGGCUAAAUACUCUCUAGUGACCGAUAGUGAACCAGUACCGUGAGGGAAAGGUGAAAAGUACCCCGGAAGGGGAGUGAAAGAGAACUUGAAACCGUGUGCUUACAAGUAGUCAGAGCCCGUUAAUGGGUGAUGGCGUGCCUUUUGUAGAAUGAACCGGCGAGUUACGAUCUGAUGCAAGGUUAAGCAGCAAAUG
rnacentral:rRNA from 1 species